rnacentral:rRNA from 1 species
GACGAACCGUCCUAACGUUGUUCGGAAUCACUGGGCGUAAAGGGCGCGUAGGCGGGCGACCAAGUCCGGGGUGAAAUCUUUCGGCUUAACCGGAAAAUAGCCUUGGAUACUGGUUGUCUCGAGGGAGGUAGGGGCCGUUGGAACUGCCGGUGGAGCGGUGAAAUGCGUUGAUAUCGGAAGGAACGCCGGUGGCGAAAGCGAACGGCUGGACCUCUUCUGACGCUGAGACGCGAAAGCUAGGGGAGCAAACGGG